rnacentral:rRNA from 1 species
GAUCAUGGCUCAGGACGAACGCUGGCGGCGUGCUUAACACAUGCAAGUCGAACGGAGCACCCUUGAUUGAGGUUUCGGCCAAAUGAUAGGAAUGCUUAGUGGCUGACUGGUGAGUAACGCGUGAGGAACCUGCCUUUCAGAGGGGGACAACAGUUGGAAACGACUGCUAAUACCGCAUGACGCAUUUUGAUCGCAUGGUCGAAAUGCCAAAAGAUUUAUCGCUGAAAUAUGG